rnacentral:rRNA from 1 species
AUUGAACGCUGGCGGCAUGCCUUACACAUGCAAGUCGAACGGCAGCAUGGGUGCUUGCACCUGAUGGCGAGUGGCGAACGGGUGAGUAAUGCAUCGGAACGUACCCGGAAGUGGGGGAUAACGUAGCGAAAGUUACGCUAAUACCGCAUAUUCUGUGAGCAGGAAAGCGGGGGAUCGCAAGACCUCGCGCUUCCGGAGCGGCCGAUGUCGGAUUAGCUAGUUGGCGGGGUAAAGGCCCACCAAGGCAACGAUCCGUAGCGGGUCUGAGAGGAUGAUCCGCCACACUGGGACUGAGACACGGCCCAGACUCCUACGGGAGGCAGCAGUGGGGGAAUAUUGGACAAUGGGCGCAAGCCUGAUCCAGCCACGCCGCGUGAGUGAUGAAGGCCUUCGGGUCGUAAAGCUCUGUGGGGAGGGACGGAACGGCGCCAUGAAGAGUAGGCGAUGACGGUACCGUCCUUAGCAAGCACCGGCUAACUUCGUGCCAGCAGCCGCGG